UACGGGGGGGGGCAAGCGUUGUUCGGAAUUACUGGGCGUAAAGGGCUCGUAGGCGGCCAACUAAGUCGGAUGUGAAAAUCCCCCAGGCUUAACCUGGGAACUGCAUCCGAUACUGGAUGGCUUGAAUUCGGGAGAGGGAUGCAGAAUUCCAGGUGUAGCGGUGAAAAUGCGUAGAUAUCUGGAGGAAUACCGGUGGCGAAGGCGGCAUCCUGGACCGAGAUUGACGCUGAUGAGCGAAAAGCUAGGGGGAGCAAACGGGG
rnacentral:rRNA from 1 species